ACCUGGAGGGAACCCAUCCCAAACCCAUUUACUAUUGGGUACUUACCCGACCUCAUGAACCCAUGAACCCGAAUUCGAUCCGAACAUUGCGACUCAUUAUAACAUCACCCAGGCACCCUGACUCAGUAAUUUAAAUAUAUUGUCACCCUAAUUGCGAAAUGUUUUAUCUUUCCCUUUUCCUUCUCCUUCUCCAUCAGUCUCUUCUUCUUCAUUAUCCUCCGUUCUUAACUUUCAUCUCGUUAAGCAAACCAUGGGUAACCUCUCUUUCCUCGACUCUUCCCCUUUUGCAAAGCUCUUUGAUUCAUGCGUCAAAUCCCAAUUUGCCAGUGACACACGUCACAUACAUGCACACAUCAUCAAAAGCCAGUUCACAACUGAAGUUUCCAUACAGAAUAGGCUUAUUGAUUCUUAUGGCAAGUGUGGUUGUUUGGAUGAUGUGCACAAGGUGUUUGAUAAAAUGCCCGAGAGGAAUACGUUUACCUGGAACUCCAUUUUUUAGUACCUUGAUGAAAUCUGGUUUUAUUCAUGAGGGAGCGUGGUUAUUUUCAUCCAUGCCUCAUCCUGACCAGUGCUCUUGGAAUUUAAUCAAUGCUGCUUUGCAUAGCAUGAUCAGAUUGGAGAAGCUUUGAUUGUUUUGUCCGGAUGCAUGGGAGGGCUUCGUGCUUAAUGAGUAUUCAUUUGGUAGUGGUCUAAGUGCUUGUGCAGGGUUAAAGGACCUAAAAACGGGAUUAUGGAUUAUGCUCAAAGGACUUUUGAUGGGAUGAAGGAGAGGAAUGUCCAAAGACCGGCAUACAAAGAUAGAUGCCAUGGAUGGAGAAUUCGUAAGUCAGUGUUAUGUGCAGCGAGAGUUUUUCAAUUGAUUAGAGUUGGAGAAGGAGGAGAAGGAAUUGGGAAAUUAGAGAUUUUUCUAUGUUAGGUUUAUGAAAAACGGUGUGUUUUGCUUGAUUUUAGAGGCUUGGGUUAACUAUUUAGGUGGGACCCACGUUAUUACUAUUAAUGUUGUAAAACUCUAGCCUAUUUUGUAUUUAGGGUUACUAAGUUAGGAUGCGGGACGAAGGUCGGUUUAGCAUAUUAUUGAACAAGUCGCAGAGGCUCCGAGUAUUUUUGUAGAUUAAGCAAAAAAAUCUUAGGUACACUCAAAUGUACCAUAUUCUCCUUCUAAAAAUGAAUCUCUCUAAAUUUAUGAAAAAAAUACUUAUAGAAAAUAAUAUUUCACUCCAUAUAUCAAAUAUCAAUAGAAAUUUUCAUUUUUCA